AUUGAACGCUGGCGGCAGGCUUAACCCAUGCAAGUCGAACGAGUGGCGGACGGGUGAGUAAUGCUUGGGAAUCUGGCUUAUGGAGGGGGAUAACGACGGGAAACUGUCGCUAAUACCGCGUACCAUCGGAUGAGCCCAAGUGGGAUUAGGUAGGUGGUGGGGUAAUGGCCUACCAAUCCGACGAUCGCGAGCUGGUUGGAGAGGAUGACCAGCCACACCGGGACGGAUACACGGCCCGGACUCCCACGGGAGGCAUCAGUGGGGAAUAUUGCGCAAUGGGGGCAACCUGACGGAGACAUGCCGCGUGAAUGACGAAGGUCUUCGGGUUGUAAAGUGCUUUCGGUGACGAGGCGUUAAUCACAGAAGAAGCACCGGCUAACUCCGUGCCAGCAGCCGCGGUAAUUC
rnacentral:rRNA from 1 species